GCGCACCAGUCGAGAAACCUUCGCAAUGCGGGAAACCGCGACGAGGGGACUCCCAGUGCCUACGCUCAGCGUAGGCUGUUCCCGAGCCUAGAAAGCUCGGGGAGUAAGGGCUGGGUAAGACGGGUGCCAGCCGCCGCGGUAAUACCCGCAGCCCGAGUGGUGGCCACUAUUAUUGGGCCUAAAGCGUCCGUAGCCGGCCCGGUAAAUGCCUGGGUAAAUCGUGAGGCCUAACCUCACGAAUUCCGGGUAGACUGCCGGGCUAGGGGACCGGAGGAGGGGAGAGGGGUACUCCGAGGGGUAGGGGUGGAAAUCCCUGUAAUCCCUGGAGGACCACCGGUGGCGAAGGCGCUCUCCUAGGACGGGUCCGACGGUGAGGGACGAAAGCCAGGGGAGCGAACCGGA
rnacentral:rRNA from 1 species